rnacentral:rRNA from 1 species
UACGUAGGGGGCAAGCGUUGUCCGGAAUCAUUGGGCGUAAAGAGCGUGUAGGCGGCCAGAUAAGUCCGCUGUGAAAUCUCGAGGCUCAACUUCGAGCUGUCGGUGGAAACUGUCUGGCUAGAGUCCGGAAGAGGAGAAUGGAAUUCCUGGUGUAGCGGUGAAAUGCGCAGAUAUCAGGAGGAACACCGGUGGCGAAGGCGGGAUCCUGGGCCAGUACUGACGCUGAGGAGCGAAAGCGUGGGGAGCAAACAGG